AUUGAACGCUGGCGGCAGGCCUAACACAUGCAAGUCGAACGAGUGGCGGACGGGUGAGUAAUGUCUGGGAAACUGCCCGAUGGAGGGGGAUAACUACUGGAAACGGGAGCUAAUACCGCAUACUAUAGGAUGUGCCCAGAUGGGACUAGCUAGUAGGUGGGGUAACGGCUCACCUAGGCGACGAUCCCUAGCUGGUCUGAGAGGAUGGCCAGCCACACUGGAACUGAGACACGGUCCAUAGUCCUACGGUAGUCAGCAGUGGGGAAUAUUGCACAAUGGGCGCAAGCCUGAUGCAUCCAUGCCGCGUGUAUGAAGAAGGCCUUCGGGUUGUAAAGUACUUUCAGUGAGGAUGCGUUACUCGCAGAAGAAGCACCGGCUAACUCCGUGCCAGCCGCCGCGGUAAUAC
rnacentral:rRNA from 1 species